AACGAACGCUGGCGGCAUGCCUAACACAUGCAAGUCGAACGAGACCUUCGGGUCUAGUGGCGCACGGGUGCGUAACGCGUGGGAACCUGCCCUUAGGUUCGGAAUAACUCCCCGAAAGGGGUGCUAAUACCGGAUAAUGUCUUCGGACCAAAGAUUUAUCGCCUUUGGAUGGGCCCGCGUUGGAUUAGCUAGUUGGUAGGGUAAAAGCCUACCAAGGCGACGAUCCAUAGCUGGUCUGAGAGGAUGAUCAGCCACACUGGGACUGAGACACGGCCCAGACUCCUACGGGAGGCAGCAGUGGGGAAUAUUGGACAAUGGGCGAAAGCCUGAUCCAGCAAUGCCGCGUGAGUGAUGAAGGCCUUAGGGUUGUAAAGCUCUUUUACCCGGGAUGAUAAUGACAGGACCGGGAGAAUAGCUCCGGCUAACUCCGUG
rnacentral:rRNA from 1 species